GCCUGGGUGGCUUAGUCGGUUAAGCGUCUGACUUCGGCUCAGGUCAUGAUCUCGAGGUCCGUGAGUUCGAGCCCCGCGUCGGGCU
rnacentral:tRNA from 1 species